UGGUGGAGUGAUUUGUCUGGUUAAUUCCGUUAACGAACGAGACCUUAACCUACUAAAUAGUUGUUUUAACAUUUGUUGAAACUAACUUCUUAGAGGGACUUUGUACGCAAGUGCAAGGAAGUUUGAGGCAAUAACA
rnacentral:rRNA from 1 species